GGACUACUAGGGUUUCUAAUCCUGUUUGCUCCCCACGCUUUCGCGCCUCAGCGUCAGUGCUGGUCCAGUUGGCCGCCUUCGCCACCGGUGUUCUUGCGAAUAUCUACGAAUUUCACCUCUACACUCGCAGUUCCACCAACCUCUACCAGACUCAAGCGUCCCAGUAUCGAAGGCCAUUCUGUGGUUGAGCCACAGGCUUUCACCCCCGACUUAAAACGCCGCCUACGCGCCCUUUACGCCCAGUGAUUCCGAGCAACGCUAGCCCCCUUCGUAUUACCGCGGCUGCUGGCACGAAGUUAGCCGGGGCUUAUUCCUCCGGUACCGUCAUUAUCGUCCCGGAUAAAAGAGCUUUACAACCCUAAGGCCUUCAUCACUCACGCGGCAUGGCUGGAUCAGGCUU
rnacentral:misc_RNA from 1 species